UGAAACCCUGUGUCUACAAGCUGUGGAAGUGCUUUAUAUGCACGACCGCGUACUUUUUGUAGAACGGUCCGGCGAGUUACGCUUACUGGCAAGGUUAAGCACUUCAGGUGUGGAGCCGUAGGGAAACCAAGUCUUAAGAGGGCCAGAGUCAGUAGGAGUAGACCCGAAACCGGGUGAUCUAUCCAUGUCCAGGUUGAAGCUGCCGUAAGAGGUAGUGGAGGACCGAACCCACAUCCGUUGAAAAGGGUGGGGAUGAGGUGUGGAUAGGGGAGAAAUUCCAAUCGAACCCGGAGAUAGCUGGUUCUCCUCGAAAUAGCUUUAGGGCUAGCCUCGAUACAGAUUUGCGGAGGUAGAGCACUGAAUUUCCUAGGGGGCGUCAAAGCCUACCGAAGAAUAUCAAACUCCGAAUGCCGCGUAAUCGAUUAUCGGGAGUCAGACUGCACGAGAUAAGUUGGGCGGUCAAAAGGGAAAGAGCCCAGACCUUCAGUUAAGGUCCCCAAGUGCGCGUUAAGUGGAAAAGGAUGUGGGAUUUCGAAGACAACCAGGAUGUUGGCUCAGAAGCAGCCAUCCAUUCAAAGAGUGCGUAAUAGCUCACUGGUCGAGAGGUCCUGCGCCGAAAAUGUCCGGGGCUGAAACGCGCCACCGAAACUAAGGAACCGAAAGGUUGGUAGAGGAGCAUUGCAUGCGGGAAGAAGCAGUACCGUAAGGAGCUGUGGACUGCAUGGAAGAGAGAAUGCCGGAAUGAGUAGCGAGAAUAAGGUGAGAAUCCUUAUGGCCGAAUAUCCAAGGUUUCCAGAGUAAAGCUGAUCUGCUCUGGGUAAGUCGGGGCCUAAGGCGAGGACGAGAGUCGUAGCCGAUGGACAACAGGUGGAGAUUCCUGUACUGCGGUAUGACAGAACUGUGGGGACACGUAAGGAAAGCGGAAGCCGGGAAUGGAAAGCCCGGUGCAAGCGGGGUACCAGUCACUUUGGCAAAUCCGGGUGGCAAUGGGAAGCCGUGAUGCGGAGCGAAAUAAAGUAGCGAAGUCCGUGAGCCAUGCGUCAAGAAAAGCCGCUAUUGUUUAUACCGUACCCGUACCGUAAACCGACACAGGUGGAUGAGGAGAGAAUCCUAAGGCCGGCGGAAGAAGCAUUGUCAAGGAACUCGGCAAAAUGGCCCCGUAACUUAGGGAUAAGGGGUGCCUGGGAAACCAGGCCGCAGAGAAUAGGCUCAAGCAACUGUUUAGCAAAAACACAGGUCUAUGCGAAACCGAAAGGUGAGGUAUAUGGGCUGACGCCUGCCCGGUGCUGGAAGGUUAAGAGGAGAGGUUAGCGGUAACGCGAAGCUUUGAAUUUAAGCCCCAGUAAACGGCGGCCGUAACUAUAACGGUCCUAAGGUAGCGAAAUUCCUUGUCGGGUAAGUUCCGACCCGCACGAAAGGCGUAAUGAUUUGAGCGCUGUCUCGACAAUGCAUCCGGUGAAAUUGAAGUACCAGUGAAGAUGCUGGUUACCUGCGCCUGGACGGAAAGACCCCAUGGAGCUGUACUCCAGUUUGGUACUGGGACUCGGUAUUGCAUGUACAGGAUAGGUGGGAGGCUAGGAGAUGGUAACGCCAGUUGCCAUGGAGCCGCUGUUGGGAUACCACCCUUGCAGUAUUGGGUUUCUAACCAGCCGCCGUGACCCGGCGGUGGGACAAUGCCCGACGGCGAGUUGGACGGGGGCGGUCGCCGCCGAAAGGGUAUCGGAGGCGCCCAAAGGUUCCCUCAGGAUGGACGGAAACCAUUCGAAGAGUGCAAAGGCAGAAGGGAGCUUGACUGCGACACCGACGGGUGGAGCAGGUACGAAAGUAGGGCUUAGUGAUCCGGUGGUAUUAAGUGGGAAUGCCAUCGCUCAACGGAUAAAAGCUACCCUGGGGAUAACAGGCUUAUCACUCCCAAGAGUUCACAUCGACGGAGUUGUUUGGCACCUCGAUGUCGGCUCAUCGCAUCCUGGGGCUGUAGUAGGUCCCAAGGGAUGGGCUGUUCGCCCAUUAAAGCGGUACGCGAGCUGGGUUCAGAACGUCGUGAGACAGUUCGGUCCCUAUCCGGCGUGGGCGUAGGAUAUCUGAGAGGAGCUGUCCUUAGUACGAGAGGACCGGGAUGGACGGGCCGCUGGUGCAUCGGUUAGACUGCCAAGU
rnacentral:rRNA from 1 species